rnacentral:lncRNA from 1 species
CAUGAGCAUGUUAAGAUUUAUCUUUAAGUUAUUUGUUUUUAAAUAAAGUGGUUGCUUGUAGUUAGGAUUGUUUACCUAGUCUACAGGAGGAUCCCUAAGUUGUAGGAGUCAUGGUUAGGGUUUGUUUUUGCAUGCUGGAGUCGUGGGAGGUAACUCCACAAAAUCUGCAAAGUAGCGUUGUAUUACUUGCAGCAGUAGGGAUGUUUGCCUAUUUAAGUUGUAAUCUUUCUCAUUUAAAGUUAAUGAAAUUCAGAGCUUCUUAGCCAUCUCUUUAGCAGCAAGCUUAAGUUUACAGUUUUCAAAAGGUUUGACCAACAUUUGGUACCAGAGCCCCCACUGGGCCUGUGUCGAGAAUCUCUCAUAGAAGCAGCAGCUUUUUUCAUUCUUGCAGUAGCAAGCAUCCAUGGCGUCUGACAAGCCAGCAGAGAAUUUCGUUCAACCAGCCAUUCCUCGCUUCGACGGUCACUACGAUCAUUGGAGCAUGUUGAUGGAGAAUUUUCUAAGGUCCAAAGAGUACUGGGAUCUUGUGGAAACGGGAUAUACUGUACCCGAAGAAAGUAUGCUUACGACUGCGCAACAACGUAAGCUUGAAGAACUGAAGCUGAAGGAUCUGAAGGUAAAGAAUUACCUAUUCCAAUCAAUUGAUCGUGCUAUUUUGGAGACUAUUCUCCAGAAGGAUACUUCCAAGCACAUUUGGGACUCCAUGAAGAGAAAGUACCAAGGGUCAGCAAGAGUGAAGCGUGCACAGCUUCAGGCCCUGAGACGAGACUUUGAGACUCUCCAAAUGAAGAAUGGAGAGUCUGUCACCGAGUAUUUUGCAAGGACCAUGGGGAUUGCAAACAAAAUGCGAAUCCAUGGUGACAAGCUUGAUGAUGGCUCCAUUGUAGAGAAGAUCCUGAGAUCUAUGGCUCCAAAGUUCAACUACAUCGUUUGCUCUAUUGAAGAGUCAAAUGACACUGCAGAAAUGUCGAUUGAUGAGCUUCAAAGCUCAUUGUUGGUCCAUGAGCAGCAGCUGAACCGUGGGAUCACAGAACGUGUCAACUUAGAAGAACAAGCUCUGAAAGCUUCUACCUUUUUUGAAUCCUCAAGCUCAAGAGGAAGAGGCCGAGGUAGAGGUAGAGGAAGAGGUCGAGGUGGUCGAGGCAACCGAGAUGGAGACAGACAACACCAAAGUUCCAAGAGACAUGAUGAUCACUCUCAGAAUAGAGGCAAAGGACAAGUUGACAAAUCCAACAUCGAGUGCUAUAGGUGUGGAAAUCUUGGGCAUUAUCGCAAUGAAUGCUACACGAAGCUGCCAAAAGACAAAGAGAAGGGAGAGAAGUCCAACUUUGUUGAAAAGAAGGAUGAUGAGACACUGUUGAUGGCAUUCCACGUCAAGGAGGAGAUUGAUUCCGAAGUAUGGUAUGUGGACACAGGUUGCAGCAAUCAUAUGACUGGCAGUAAGUCAUCUUUCUCAUUUUUGGAUGAAAACUUUCAAACUACUGUGAGCUUUGGGGAUUGGUCACGUGUCAAUGUAAUUGGAAAGGGUGAUAUUCAAAUUAGGACUAAGAAUGAUUUUGUUGAAACGAUUUCGAAUGUAUUUUAUGUGCCUAGUUUGAAAACAAAUUUGUUGAGUGCUGGACAGCUACAAGAAAAGGGUUAUAUAAUAACUCUUCAGAAAGAUGCAUGUGAGAUAUAUGAUCCAAUAAGAGGUGCCAUUGCUGUUGUUCAAAUGAGCCAAAACAGAUUGUUUCCGCUGAAGAUCAAAACUGUUCAAACUAGUUUGAUGGCUAAGGAAGACGACUCAUCGUGGCUAUGGCACCUACGUUUUGGCCAUCUGAAUUUUAGCGGUCUGAGGACACUGCAUCAGAAGCAAAUGGUGACUGGCCUUCCCAUGAUCACACCUCCAUCUGAAGUCUGUGAAGCAUGUGUCAUUAGCAAACAGCACCGUGAUCAAUUUCCAAAGGGAAAGGCGUGGAGAGCUCAAAACCUAUUGGAGCUAGUGCAUUCGGACAUUUGUGGUCCAAUCAGUCCCAUGUCGAAUGGUAAAAAGAAAUACUUUAUUUCUUUUAUUGAUGACUUCAGUAGAAAGGCUUGGGUGUAUUUUUUGCAGGAAAAAUCAGAAGCUUUUAAUGCAUUUAAAAGCUUUAAGGCACUGGUUGAGACUGAAAGUGGCAGAAAGAUCAAAACCCUUCGAACUGAUCGUGGUGGUGAAUAUUGUUCAAAGGAGUUUGAAGCUUUCUGUGAUGAGCAAGGGAUUCGAAGGCAGCUCACUGCCUCAUACACACCCCAGCAAAACGGUGUAUCCGAGAGGAAAAACCGAACCAUUCUCAACAUGGUCAGAAGCUUGCUAGUGAAGGGAGGUGUUCCUAAAAGUUUUUGGCCUGAAACUGUACUGUGGUCCAUUCAUGUUUUAAACAGGUGCCCUACUUUUUCUGUUAAGAACAUGACACCAGAGGAAGCUUGGAGUGGGCGGAAACCCUCAGUAGAUCAUUUUAAAAUAUUUGGCUGCAUAGCAUAUGCACACAUUCCAGACGAGAAAAGAAAGAAGCUCGAUGACAAGGGCGCAAAGUGUAUUUUCCUUGGAGUCAGUGAACACUCCAAAGCUUAUAAGUUGUACAAUCCAACAACGGAGAAGAUGAUUACCAGUCGAGAUGUGUUUUUUGAUGAAGAAAAGACGUGGGAUUGGGCUGGAAAUAGCAAGCAGCAGCAGCAAAUACCGGCUAACUUUGAAGCAACAGAAGUUAGGGCUGAGCAGUCUCCUGAGCCUGACGAAAUCCCACCAGAAAAUGCUCAACCCACGGAUGACCAGCCACCUCAAACUCAACGACCGAGGAAAAGACCAUCGUGGAUGAUUGAUUAUGUAAGUGGAGAUGAACUCUCUGAUGAUGACACUACUGCAUACUUUGCCUUGUUUGCAGAUUCCACUCCUCUCACCUUUGAGGAAGCAGUUGAAGACUCGAAAUGGCAAAAGGCAAUGGAUGCAGAAAUUAGGUCCAUUGAGAAAAAUGAUACGUGGGAGCUUACAGAUUUGCCGAGAGGUCAGAAGACUAUUGGGUUGAAGUGGAUCUUCAAAACCAAAUUGAAUGAAAAAGGUGAGGUGGACAAGCAUAAAGCCCGUUUGGUAGCAAAGGGAUACAAGCAAAAGUAUGGCGUCGAUUACAAAGAGGUGUUUGCUCCGGUUGCAAGGCAAGACACAAUUCGCUUGGUAAUCUCUCUUGCUGCUCAAAACUCAUGGCCUAUCUAUCAACUAGAUGUAAAAUCCGCCUUUUUACAUGGUGAACUGCAAGAACAAGUGUUUGUUGAUCAGCCUACAGGCUAUGUGCAGCAAGGAAAAGAGAAGAAGGUUUUGAGGUUGAAGAAGGCACUCUAUGGACUGAAACAAGCACCACGAGCUUGGUACAGUCGCAUAGAUGCAUACUUUGUCAAACAAGGCUUCCAAAAGUGUCCAUAUGAGCAUACCUUGUACGUUAAGGUAGGAGAUGAAGGUAAAAUGCUCAUUAUAUGCCUUUAUGUUGAUGAUCUGAUUUUUACUGGAAGUGGAGUUGAUAUGUUUGAUGGUUUUAAAAAAUCUAUGAUGGAAGAGUUUGAUAUGAGUGACUUGGGAUUGAUGCAUUACUUUCUUGGCAUAGAAGUAGCACAAUCAGAAACUGGCAUUUUUGUUUGCCAAAAGAAAUACAUACUGGAAAUAUUGGAAAGGUUUCAGAUGUUGAACAGCAAUCCCGUCGGAACAACUGCAGAGGUAGGGUUCAAGCUGAGUAAAGAUCCUGAAGGGGAAAUGGUUGACAGCACUUAUUUCAAACAGAUAGUAGGGAGUCUGAUGUAUCUAACUUCCACAAGGCCUGAUAUCAUGCAUUCUGUAAGUGUGAUAAGUCGUUACAUGGAGAAUCCCACUGAGAUGCAUCUCAGGGCAGCCAAGAGAAUUUUUCGUUACUUAAAAGGCACAACAGAUUUUGGGAUUUUCUAUAAGAAGGGGGGAAAGUCGCAUUUUUUUGGCUUUACUGACAGUGAUUAUGCAGGAGACAUUGAUGAUCGUAAAAGCACUUCUGGAAAUGUGUUUUUAAUGAGUUCAGGUGCAGUUUCAUGGUCCUCGAAGAAACAACAAAUCGUGACAUUAUCCACAACUGAAGCUGAGUUCGUGGCAGCUGCUUCAUGUUCCUGUCAAGCCAUUUGGCUGAGAAGAAUGCUAGAAGUUCUUGGUAAUCAGCAACAAGACUCAACAUUAAUUUAUUGUGAUAAUGUUUCAGCGAUCAAGCUAUCCAAGAAUCCAGUCAUGCAUGGAAGAAGCAAACAUAUCGAUGUUAGAUAUCAUUUCUUACGUGAUCUAUGCAAAGAAGGUGUGAUUGAGCUGCAUUACUGCAAGAGUGAAGAUCAGGUGGCUGAUCUCAUGACAAAACCUCUCAAACAGCCAGUGUUCGAGAAGCUCAGAAGUAUGCUUGGAGUUUGUUCAAGGGAGGGACUCACGCUAAAGAAAAGUGAAGCUAAAGAUCGGUUUUAAACUGUUUUCUGCAGAAAUCAGUUUAAGGGAGGGUGUUAAGAUUUAUCUUUAAGUUAUUUGUUUUUAAAUAAAGUGGUUGCUUGUAGUUAGGAUUGUUUACCUAGUCUACAGGAGGAUCCCUAAGUUGUAGGAGUCAUGGUUAGGGUUUGUUUUUGCAUGCUGGAGUCGUGGGAGGUAACUCCACAAAAUCUGCAAAGUAGCGUUGUAUUACUUGCAGCAGUAGGGAUGUUUGCCUAUUUAAGUUGUAAUCUUUCUCAUUUAAAGUUAAUGAAAUUCAGAGCUUCUUAGCCAUCUCUUUAGCAGCAAGCUUAAGUUUACAGUUUU